rnacentral:RNase_P_RNA from 1 species
CGAGUGAGUUGAGUGAUCGCUUGUUUUAAACAAGAGGAAAGUCCGAACUCCUAAGGGAGAUGGUGCUGGGUAACCCCCAGGUGUCGAGAGGCAACGGAAAGUGCCACAGAAAAUAACCGCCAUUAACAAACACGUGAUGUUAAUGGUAAGGGUGAAAAGGUGGUGUAAGAGACCCCCGCAGUUAUUGGCAACAAUGGCUGGCAAGGUAAACCCCACCAGGAGCAAGACCAUGUAUAGAAGCAGGACUCCCUUACUAAUGCUUCGGGGUAGGUCGCUCGAGGUAACAAGUAAUUGUUACCCUAGAUAAAUGAUCACAUAGAACAGAAUUCGGCUUACUAACUCACUCUAUAA